AUUAGCUAUGCAUGUCUCAGUACAAGCCUUAUUAAGGUGAAACCGCGAAAGGCUUAUUAUAUCAGUUAUGGUUCCUUGGAUCGUACGAAAAAGUACAUGGGUAAUUCUAGAGCUAAUACAUGCAAACAGAGCUCCGACCAGAGAUGGCCGGGGUGCUUUUAUUAGAUCAAAACCAAUCGGGUGGCGUGCGAGUACGCGCGCGCGGCCUUCACCUGCGCGUUCGCGCGCGCAUCGUCGUUAACGCGGCGGCGCGUCAGCGCGUCACGUACGGUGACGGUUCGCCGCUUUCGUAUCGCUCCGUACACGUUUGGUGACUCUGAAUAACUUUGUGCUGAUCGCACGGUCUCGUACCGGCGACGCAUCUUUCAAAUGCCUGCCUUAUCAACUGUCGAUGGUAGGUUCUGCGCCUACCAUGGUCGUAACGGGUAACGGGGAAUCAGGGUUCGAUUCCGGAGAGGGAGCCUGAGAACGGCUACCACAUCCAAGGAAGGCAGCAGGCGCGCAAAUUACUCACUCCCGGCACGGGGAGGUAGUGACGAAAAAUAACGAUACGGGACUCAUCCGAAGCCUCGUAAUCGGAAUGAGUACACUUUAAAUCCUUUAACGAGUAUCCAUUGGAGCAAGUCGUCGAGAGUGUCGAGGUGGGCCGGUACGUUUACUUUGAACAAAUUAGAGUGCUCAAGGCAGGCUGAAAAUUUCGUCUGAAUAUCGUGUGCAUGAAAUAAUGGAAUAGGACCUAGGUUCUAUUUUGUUGGUUUUCGGAACUCCGAAGUAAUGAUUAAUACGGACAGAUGGGGGCAUUCAUAUUGCAACGCUAGAGGUGAAAUUCUUGGAUCGUCGUAAGACGGACAGAAGCGAAAGCAUUUGCCAAAAAUGUUUUGAUUGAUCAAGAACGAAAGUUAGAGGUU
rnacentral:rRNA from 1 species